CAUAUAUAUUGUGGAGAUGGAGAAGGUUUUCAUGUACACGCUUGAUACUUUGAUGGUGGUUAACAUGCAUGUAAAUUGUAAAUAUGUAGUUCACUUUAAAACCUAGACAAGCUGUCUGUACAGGCCUGAAGUUGGUCAUCGGCAAUGGAUACGGACAAGACCAUGGCAGUAGCUGAUAUAGGAUUCAACAGACUCUGCUGCCACGACAUUCAAAAACAGAAUUGCUCAAACAACUUCUGCCCUGUCAAAACUCAAGCCCAUAUGGAAGGACAAGAAGAUCAGUAUGACAUCAAAAGACACUGGGCCAAGUCCUUUCCUCCUUCUACAGCUGUGCGUCCUCAGUUCCUACAUUAAAGUAUGGUAGGGCUGCUGCUGUGCAGCGGAGGAGAAGACUCUCCACAGGGUGGUGAAGCUGCACAGAGGAUUAUUGGGAGCAGCCUCUUGGACAACUACAGUACCAGA